rnacentral:rRNA from 1 species
CAGCUAAGGUCCCAAAGUGUAAGUUAAGUGGAAAAGGAUGUGGGAUUUCUAAGACAACUAGGAUGUUGGCUUAGAAGCAGCCACUCAUUUAAAGAGUGCGUAAUAGCUCACUAGUCGAGAGAUCCUGCGCCGAAAAUGUACCGGGGCUAAACUUACCACCGAAGCUACGGAUUUGCAAGUAAUUGCAAGUGGUAGGGGAGCGUCGUAAUCGGGCUGAAGUCGUACCGGAAGGAGCGGUGGACUGAUUACGAGUGAGAAUGUUGGCAUUAGUAGCGAGAUGUAGGUGAGAAUCCUACAGGCCGAAUAUCUAAGGUUUCCUCAGGAAGGCUCGUCCGCUGAGGGUUAGUCGGGACCUAAGCCGAGGCCGAAAGGCGUAGGCGAUGGACAAUCGGUUGAUAUUCCGAUACCACUACCAUCGUUAUUAUCGAGGGUGUGACGGAGAAGGAUAGUGUGUGCUAGCGAUUGGAAAUGCUAGUCUAAGCGUUUAGGGAGUUACAGUAGGCAAAUCCGCUGUAACAAUUCUGAGGCGUGAUGGGGAAGGUCAUUAAGACCGAAGUACAUGAUUCCAUGCUUCCAAGAAAAGCAUCUAGAGAGAGAAGUAGUGCCCGUACCGCAAACCGACACAGGUAGAUGAGGAGAGAAUCCUAAGGCCGGCGGAAGAAUUGCAGUUAAGGAACUAGGCAAAUUGACCCCGUAAGUUCGCGAGAAGGGGUGCCUGCGAGAGCAGGCCGCAGAGAAUAGGCCCAAGCAACUGUUUAGCAAAAACACAGGUCUCUGCUAAAGCGUAAGCUGAUGUAUAGGGGCUGACGCCUGCCCGGUGCUGGAAGGUUAAGGGGAACACUUAGCGCAAGCGAAGGUGUGAACUUAAGCCCCAGUAAACGGCGGCCGUAACUAUAACGGUCCUAAGGUAGCGAAAUUCCUUGUCAGGUAAGUUCUGACCCGCACGAAUGGCGUAAUGACUUGGGCACUGUCUCAACUGCAAAUCCGGCGAAGUUGUAGUGCGAGUGAAGAUGCUCGCUACCCGCGAUUGGACGGAAAGACCCCGUAGAGCUUUACUGUAGCUUAGCAUUGAAUUCCGGUAUUGUCUGUACAGGAUAGGUGGGAGACUGGGAAACUAGGGCGUCAGCCUUAGUGGAGUCAACCUUGGGAUACCACCCUGACAGUACUGGGGUUCUAACAGGACGCCAUGAAGCUGGUGACUGGACAUUGUUAGGUGGGCAGUUUGACUGGGGCGGUCGCCUCCUAAAAAGUAACGGAGGCGCCCAAAGGUUCCCUCAGAACGGUCGGAAAUCGUUCGUAGAGUGCAAAGGCAGAAGGGAGCCUGACUGCGAGACCCACAAGUCGAGCAGGGACGAAAGUCGGGCUUAGUGAUCCGGUGGUACCUCGUGGGAGGGCCAUCGCUCAACGGAUAAAAGCUACCUCGGGGAUAACAGGCUGAUCUCCCCCAAGAGUUCACAUCGACGGGGAGGUUUGGCACCUCGAUGUCGGCUCA